CAUGUGCUCUUGUGGCGCAACCGGUUAGCGCGUUCGGCUGUUAACCGAAAGGUUGGUGGUUCGAAUCCACCCAGGAG
rnacentral:tRNA from 1 species